UGUAGGCGUAUACCAAAGUUGUUGCAGUUAAAACGCUCGUAGUCGGAAUUUGGCAGUUCCGGAAGUGUGCACGUCGUGUGCGCACUUUGCGGGGACUGCUUUUGUGGUCUUGCGUAGGAUGAGGCACUUUCAUUAGUGAACGUCCUCACGCAACCACUCUUUACUGUGAGAAAAUCAGAGUGCUCAAAGCAGGCAUUUGCCGUGAAUGUAUUAGCAUGGAAUAAUAGAAUAGGACUCGGUUCUAUUUUGUUGGUUUGUUGGGACUGAGUAAUGAUUAAGAGGGACAGUUGGGGGCAUUUGUAUUCCGGCGCUAGAGGUGAAAUUCUUAGAUUGCCGGAAGACAAACUGCUGCGAAAGCGUCUGCCAAGGAUGUUUUCAUUGA
rnacentral:rRNA from 1 species